rnacentral:lncRNA from 1 species
UCCCUUACAUUCAAAUUUACAUACAUUUUCCUGCUUUUGCUGAAUUGGUUAAUUAAUUUUAACCGUAUAGAGGUAGGUGGUCAACCGUACAAAUACAAGUCAAAGAACAUACUAUGUAACUUUAAAAAUAAAAUAAAAAUGGUUAUAGUUAUUGUCUCCAUUAACAGAAAGUAGUACUUCCUCCGUUCCAAAAAGAAUGACUUAGUUUUCUUUUUAUUCUGUUUAAAAAAGAAUGACCCUUUUCUUUUUUUGGCAAUAUUUAACUUCAACUUUCCACGUGAUAUGUUUAAUGCCACAAGAUUAAAGGACAUUUUGGUAUAUUUGACAUAACUUUAAUUUAGAACCAUAAGAUAAAAAAGUCUUCUUUACUUUUCUUAAACUCCGUUUCAAAUCAAACUAGGUCAUUCUUUUUUAAACGGAAGGGAUAUUUAAUUUGGAAAUCCAGCAGCUAAUUUAGUUCUCAAGUCCUUUCUAAGGAUUUUGCCAGAUGGAGAUUUAGGAACAUCAUCCGCUAAAAAUACCCUCUUUAUCCUCUUAUAAAAUAUCACCUGAAAAAUCAAUAAAUUAGAAACCCAUUUUAUGAUAUAAAUGUUCUAUUAGGUAAAACUACAUAGUAAUUAUAUCAAGGGAAGGUCCACAAUAUAUUUAUUUUUAUUACACGGGGAGGCGGGGAGCAGGAGAAGGGAAACUAGAGAGGGAAUUACAAGGUGAGGACUGAGGAACAAACCCCCGCCAAUAAAAUAAAAAAUUAGAUAAUCGACCAACUAAGCUACUAAUCUCAAUUUGGCAAAUAAACAUAAAUGAAUAAAACCAGCCUGCUUUGUUAUGAAUUCUCUGACUUCAUCUUCAGUAAUUGUGGAGCCAUUUGAUCUAACAACAAAAGCCACUGGAACUUCUUUCAUUCUGCGGAAUAUUUUGACAGUUUGAUGCAUUAACAUGUUGUGUCAUAAGCGCGAUCUUAUUAUAAUUAGCGACUUACGGAACAACAGCAGCAUCUGAAAUGUUACUCCAUGUUUGUGCGCCGUUCAUGUUUUCUUAAAACUGUAUCUUGUUAUGAUUUUAUUAAAACGUAUGUUCCAUUGGGUAAAAUUAAGUCUGAGUAACAUGAUCUGAGCCUCUCUUGUAAGAUGCAAACACGAUGUUCAUAACUUGAUACUGAGAAUGUGCCAAGAAAGUACCUCAAAUCCAUCAGCAAGUAGAUUCAACCCAAGCCUCUAAAUUCCUGGCAAUAGUCUGAUAAUUUUUAGGUACCUCAAAUCCAUUGACACCCUUUGCUCGGUUGGUAACAUUCUCUGUUGUUACAAUGUCACACAUCCAUGAUUUGAAAAAGUAGAGUGUGGUGUAGAAUCACUAUGAAAAUGUAGGAUAAAAUAGAAGUAGUUAAAUAAUAAGUAAAGACAAAAAGAGAAUAAAAUAUUAAGCUAACGAUGUGAUCACACAAAAUGAGUUGUUUCGUCGUUACCUAUAAAUUUAAACAUACAAUAAAAUUUGAAUAACAAUCAAAACAAAUAUUAUAUUUAAAUUAACAAUACAAUAUAGUACAAGUUGAGGUGAAGUCCCUAGAAUAACUCCACGAUUAAAGAAGAUUACAUAAAUAAACUAGACAUUAGAAAGCUAGAAAACAAUACACUUUUCCCUUUGUUUGAUAAAAAAAAAAAAAACUACCAUAUAAACAUCAUAUCCAACAGAUAAUUCCCUCAAGUACUGCAUUAACAAGCAUGAUUAUUUAUCCAAUUUAUUCCACAUUUAUAACAAAACUGUGAUCCACACCUGCAAGUCAUAUGCAAGCAUCCCUCAGUUUUCUCGACGAAAAAUCUGCAAUAAGGACAUCUAGUCCACUGUUUCGCCUUUGCUAAUUCCUUCACCAUUAAAUCUUCUCUGCUUCUUUCAUCCACAUUCAUUUCCCGAAACUCUUCGCAUUGAACUCCACAAUGCCACGGCACAUAACAUUGUGCGCAGAACAAUCUCCGGCAAACAGGACACUCCGAUUCCCUAACUAUAUCGUCCGAAUCGUUCACUAGCAUUGCCGAACAAUCUUUAUAUGGACAGUAGAAUUUCUCCGAGGCAAGAAUAAGCGAUUCACACAACAAAUCGUCCCAACUAUUACGUACAUCUUUAGGUAUAAUCGAAAUGCACGUUCCGAAAUCGAGAAUUCCCCUGCAAGCUACACCAGGACAUGUCACAACGUGAAUUUUGUCCUGGAUUUUUAUUGAGACGUGCUUGUUAAUACAAUCAGUACAAAAAACGUGGCUGCAAGAUUCAAUUGUGAACAUUUCAUCAAUUUCUUUUCUCUCUGCACAAAUCUCGCAGAAACUUAACGAUGAUUCGCCGAUUUCAGGUUGAUCUACAAUACUCUCCUCUGCAGGGGAAUUGGUCGAGUUUUGAUUGAAAAUUGUUGAACUCAUUAUUAUUUCUUGAUCCUGGAGUUGUUCAGCAUAUUUGUCAUCUGAUAUUGAAAAGUUUUCGACAUUUUGGAUUUCGUCAAAAAGUAAUGAGAAGUAAAAAUCAUCACAAAACAAAUCAAAGGCAGCUUCAUUUGCCAUUUGAUCAAAAUGAUGAGUUAUUUGAUUUGAUUUCUAUAUAUGAACUAUUGGAGUGCCUCGACGAGUUACUUAAGUAGUAAGAAGUCUAGUCUCAUUGGAAAACCAAACAAGUUUUUCAAACUUUUAGACUUCUCUAAAUAUAUUAUGGUAACUGAAAAUUUUUAUUUUGUACGAGGCACAAGUAUGAGGUGAUCGACAAUAAGCCUCUACUAAUAUUGUGCCAAGUGGAAAGUUGGGUCCCAUUUCAGAAAAUGGCCCAAAUUCCUUUGUCUUUCUCUUCUUUUCAACGAUUUUUUUCUCUUUAUUACUUUUUUUACCUCUUUUUCUUUGGUUUUUCUUUUCCAAAUAUUAUUCCAAAUUUUUUACUUUAAAAAUUUUAUUCAUGGAAAAUAAUAUUGUGCCAAGUGGAAAGUUGGGUCCCAUUUCAGAAAAUGGCCCAAAUUCCUUUGUCUUUAUCUUCUUUUCAACGAUUUUUUUCUCUUUCUUACUUUUUUUACUUCUUUUUCUUUGGUUUUCCUUUUCCAAUUAUUGUUCCAAAUUUUCUACUUCCAUACUUUAAUAAUUUUAUUCAUGGAGAAUAAUAUUGUGCCAAGUGGAAAGUUGAGUCCCAUUUCAGAAAAUGGCCCAAAUUCCUUUGUCUUUAUCUUCUUUUCAACGAUUUUUUUCUCUUUCUUACUUUUUUUACUUCUUUUUCUUUGGUUUUCCUUUUCCAAUUAUUGUUCCAAAUUUUCUACUUCCAUACUUUAAUAAUUUUAUUCAUGGAAAAUAUGCUAUUCAAAAUUUUUUACCUGAUUUAUUCUAUUUCUAACAUUUUGAUAUUAUUUUUUCAUCUCGAAAUUAAUUAUUUAUAUUACUAAAAAUAGUUGGAUAAAAUUAUUUGUUAAUUUACAAAGAUAUAAUUAAUUACAAGUUCUCUAUUUUAUUAUAACAAUAUUUCUUUUUGAAAGUGUAAAUAAAAUUUAUAAAGUUAAAAAUAAUAAUUAGGUGUAAAUCAGUAAAACUAUUAUUUUAUUUAUGAUUUCUUAAGAAAUUUGUAAAAGAAAAAGUAGACUAUUAAUAUGAAAAACAAAGAAGGUAUAAAAUUAAUUUGUUCUUUUAUUCUUCUCAACAAUUUCAGAAUUCCAAAAGCACUUAAAUCCAUCAAAUACUCUUCAAAAAGAAAAUAUAACGGAAAGAGCAUCAAUGAUCUUGACAAACGAUUACAUAAGUUUUGAUACUAUUUUCAUGAAAUUCAAAAACGAAAAGCAUCCAUAANNNNNNNNNNNNNNNNNNNNNNNNNNNNNNNNNNNNNNNNNNNNNNUUACUUAUAUCUUGAUUUUAUAAACCGAAAAUUAAAUACAAAUAAAAAUUUAUUAUUAUAUAAUAUGAAUUUAUACAUAGAAUAGAAAAAAUAAUAUUAUAAUAAUAAAGUAAAAACUUAUAUAAUGAUGAUAAAAAUUAAAUCAAAAUUCACUACAUAAAAAGGAAAAAUCAUAAACUAAUUAGAUCAAAAUAUAAAAUUAGAUUUGGUUAAAAAAUCUUAAAGAAGAAAAAAUAUUUGAAAACAUAAAAACACAAAUAGACUGAAUAGGGGCGUAAAUGAAAAAAAAAUGAAGGAGGAAACUCUAAAAAAGGUCACUUAGUUAGCUUGGAAAUGGCAAAAAGAAUAAUUGUUAUAAUAAAAUAGAAAAAUUAUAAUUAAUUAUAUCUUUGUAAAUUAACAAAUAAUUUUAUCUAACUAUUUUUAGUAAUAUAAAUAAUUAAUUUUGAGAUGAAAAAUAAUAUCAAAAUGUUAGAAAUAGAAUGAAUCAGGUAAAACAUUUUGAAUUUCAUAUUUUCCAUGAAUAAAAAUAUUAAAGUAUGGAAGUAGAAAAUUUGGAACAAUGAUUGGAAAAAAAAAACCAAAGAAAAAGAAGUAAAAAAAGUAAGAAAAAGAAAAAAAUCAUUGAAAAGAAGAGAGAAAAAGGAAUUUGGGUCAUUUUCUGAAAUGGGAUCCAACUUUCCACUUGGCACAAUAUAAGUAGAGGCUCAUACAAGUAUUAUCGGCCACCUCAUACUUGUGCCUCGUACAUAAUAAAAUAUUUCAUGGUAACUCGAUAGCUUAAAAGUCAAAACUUAUCACUAUGAUUUGAUACUUUCUUUUGUCCAUUUUAGUUGUCAUUUUUAUUAAAAAUAACAAGACAAAAUAAUAAUUAUUUUAGAAAAUCAACCUAGCCCUGUUGCCAUUAAAAAAGAUAAGCUAGAAAGAAAACUUAUAAUGUUUCAAUAAAUUCACGGGAUUUCUGGUGAAAAUUUUUUUACAUGACUAAAUGCAAUAUGAUAUCAAAUCAAUAGUAAAAGACAUUUAAAAAAAAAUUUGAAGUCCCUUGCAUUCAAAUUUACAUACAUUUUCCUCCUUUUGCCAAAUUGGUUAAUUAAUUUUAACCGUAUAGAGGCAGGUGGUUGAACGUACAAAUACAAUUCAAAGAACAAAAUACGUAACUUUUAAUAAUGAAAAAAAGAACUGGUUAUAGUUAUUGUCGAUCGCCAUUAAAGUAUAAAGUAGUAUUUAAUUUGGAAAUCCAGCAGCUAAUUUAGCUCUCAA